rnacentral:lncRNA from 1 species
UCCGGGCGGAGACCGCUUGUGCUGGAGUCGGAGUUGUAACGCUCCACUGACUGAUAGAGCGACCGGCCGACCAUGGCGCCCGGAGUGGCCCGCGGGCCGACGCCGUACUGGAGGUUGCGCCUCGGUGGCGCCGCGCUGCUCCUGCUGCUCAUCCCGGUGGCCGCCGCGCAGGAGCCUCCCGGAGCUGCUUGUUCUCAGAACACAAACAAAACCUGUGAAGAGUGCCUGAAGAACGUCUCCUGUCUUUGGUGCAACACUAACAAGGCUUGUCUGGACUACCCAGUUACAAGCGUCUUGCCACCGGCUUCCCUUUGUAAAUUGAGCUCUGCACGCUGGGGAGUUUGUUGGGGUAAGUCAUUGCGCUGAUCAUCACCAUGUCGGUAGUCGGGGGAACCCUCCUCCUGGGCAUUGCCAUCUGCUGCUGCUGCUGCUGCAGGAGGAAGAGGAGCCGGAAGCCGGACAGGAGUGAGGAGAAGGCCAUGCGUGAGCGGGAGGAGAGGCGGAUACGGCAGGAGGAACGGAGAGCAGAGAUGAAGACAAGACAUGAUGAAAUCAGAAAAAAAUAUGGCCUGUUUAAAGAAGAAAACCCGUAUGCUAGAUUUGAAAACAACUAAAGCGCUCCAGCACAUCAGUCCCGACGCUUCCUGUGAGGUGCACGCUCCGCAGCCCAGCCCAGCCGGGAGACCACGUGGCCAUUGCGGUCUCCUGACCUUGGCCAGUGAACCUGCCAGCCUUCCAGGACAGGCGGCCGGAGAGCUGCCCCUGAAGGACAGUCCUCUCGUCUUGCAGACUGGUGACCUUCUAUUCCCUGUUCAUCUCUGUUUCUAGAUUUAGUCACUUGAAAUAAGAAAUCUUUGGGGUUUGGGCUUUUUUAUACUCUUCUCAGUUUGUGAAACGCUAACUGCACACGAAGCCGCCUGACGGCACCCAGCGCUGUGGCUGUCAUUCUCCCAGGGCAGAACCCUGCGUUUCUCUCUGUCCACUAACAAGCUUCACACGCAACACAGGGAAGUCGGUUUGACUUUUGUCAUGAGGAGAACUGACCAGCCCUCAUCAUUCCCCAUAAAACCACGGACAGCGUCUGUGUGCGCAUCUUGAGUCUUCACACCUGUUGACUCACACGGCUUUUGCUGAUGACACGGGGCUCCAGUACACAGUCUGAUAAGGACUUAACGUCCUAACCUCAAUUGUAUUAAAUAGCAUUGGGGAAUAGCUAAACCUUUUUAAAAAAAUUUAUUGGAUUUUCCUCCCUGCUUAAAAGAUUUCACCAGAAAACCUUCAUAUAAAAAUUCAGGCCCUUUUUGGACAAUUUUUAAAAUUUGUAUCUUUACUAGAACAUGAGAAUCUUUUUCCCUUGGAAGCUUGAAUUAUAAAUGUGGUGUUUGGCCUGCCUCAGCAGCACCAGUUGACUGCUCGUGUGCCAGCGGUGUGGGGAGGACGGGGCAGGACGCUGCAGCUCUCUCCAGCCCUGUUGGCAUCCUCAGUGCCUGCAGGCCUCUCGCUGCCUGUUGGGCUGUCUGGGGGGUGGCCAUUUAGGGAUCGUGGGGACGGGGUCCACCCC